GACAGAGGGGGCAAGCGUUGCUCGGAAUUACUGGGCGUAAAGGGCGCGUAGGCGGGAUGGCAAGUCGGUCGUGAAAUCCCUCGGCUCAACCGAGGAACGUCGAUCGAUACUGCUGUUCUUGAGGAUUGCAGAGGAGACUGGAAUUCCCGGUGUAGCGGUGAAGUGUGUAGAGAUCGGGAGGAACACCGGUGGCGAAGGCGGGUCUCUGGGCAACAACUGACGCUGAGGAGCGAAAGCGUGGGGAGCGAACAGG
rnacentral:rRNA from 1 species